GAGAUUAUAAAAUAACUAACUUAGUGAUCAAACAGUGAAUAACGUUGGUUAAAGGUGAUAUUUAUGUUUUAUUUGGAUGAUGAACGGAUGGUUUUUGGGGCAUUUCUGUGGAUAUUCAACAUAUUUCAUGCGGGGAAUCGUCGGUUGUAUCUGGCAACCAGCUAGAGUCAGGAACAAAGCAGUGAAAUGGAAGACGGACAGAGCUGGAUGAUGACUACCGUUAAACUAGAAGAAGAAGAGGAAAAGGAACAAAUAUUAUGGAGGGAAGUGAAGCUGAGUAUGAGUAAGACGGACAGUGAUGAUGAUGAUGAUGAUGAUGAAGGCUGCAGGAGGAAAGCUGUGCUGGAGGAGCUUCGUCAUCCCGACCAUGUGUGGGACGGAAUGUUUGCUCCAAAGAUGGAGAAAAGCGGAGAAGAAGAAACGGAGGAGUUUUCAGAUGUGUGCUCUGUGAAGGAAGAGGGAACCAGUCAGACCAUGACCACACUAAAAAACCUGGUGGGUAAUAAGUGA
ensembl:lncRNA